GAUACUGUCGAGCCAAGAAAAGUUUCUAAGUUUAGUUAUAGUUGCCCGUACCGUAAACCGACACAGGUGGGUGGGAUGAGUAUUCUAAGGCGCGUGGAAGAACUCUCUUCAAGGAACUCUGCAAAAUAGCACCGUAUCUUCGGUAUAAGGUGUGCCUAACUUUGUGAAGGAUUUACUCCGUAAGCAUUGAAGGUUACAACAAAGAGUCCCUCCCGACUGUUUACCAAAAACACAGCACUCUGCUAACUCGUAAGAGGAUGUAUAGGGUGUGACGCCUGCCCGGUGCUCGAAGGUUAAUUGAUGACGUUAGCUCUGCGAAGCGUUUGAUCGAAGCCCGAGUAAACGGCGGCCGUAACUAUAACGGUCCUAAGGUAGCGAAAUUCCUUGUCGAUUAAAUAUCGACCUGCAUGAAUGGCGUAACGAGAUGGGAGCUGUCUCGAAGAGGGAUCCAGUGAAAUUGUAGUGGAGGUGAAAAUUCCUCCUACCCGCGGCAAGACGGAAAGACCCCGUGGACCUUUACUACAGCUUGACACUGCUAUUGGGAUAAAAAUGUGCAGGAUAGGUGGGAGGCUUUGAUCCAUAGACGCCAGUUUAUGGUGAGCCAUUGUUGAGAUACCACUCUUUUUUAUUCUGAUAGCUAACUAGCUUGAGUUAUCCUCAAGUAGGACAAUGUCUGGUGGGUAGUUUGACUGGGGCGGUCGCCUCCCAAAAUGUAACGGAGGCUUACAAAGGUUGGCUCAGAACGGUUGGAAAUCGUUCGUAGAGUAUAAAGGCAUAAGCCAGCUUAACUGCGAGACAUACACGUCAAGCAGAGACGAAAGUCGGUCUUAGUGAUCCGGUGGUUCUGUGUGGAAGGGCCAUCGCUCAAAGGAUAAAAGGUACCCCGGGGAUAACAGGCUGAUCUCCCCCAAGAGCUCACAUCGACGGGGAGGUUUGGCACCUCGAUGUCGGCUCAUCGCAUCCUGGGGCUGGAGCAGGUCCCAAGGGUAUGGCUGUUCGCCAUUUAAAGCGGUACGCGAGCUGGGUUCAGAACGUCGUGAGACAGUUCGGUCCCUAUCUGCCGUGGGCGCAAGAAGAUUGAGGAGAGUUGACCCUAGUACGAGAGGACCGGGUCGAACCAACCACUGGUGUACGAGUUGUCCUGCCAAGGGCACCGCUCGGUAGCUAUGUUGGGAUGUGAUAACUGCUGAAAGCAUCUAAGCAGGAAGCCAACUCCAAGAUGAAUCUUCUUUUAAGAGCUCAUAUAGACUAUGUGUUUGAUAGGCUGGGUGUGUAAUGGAUGAAAGUCCUUUAGCUGACCAGUACUAAUAGCUCGUCUGCUUAUCUUU
rnacentral:rRNA from 1 species